rnacentral:rRNA from 1 species
GGAGGAAGGUGGGGAUGACGUCAAAUCAUCAUGCCCCUUAUGCUUAGGGCUACACACGUGCUACAAUGGGUAGUACAGAGGGUUGCCAAGCCGUAAGGUGGAGCUAAUCCCUUAAAGCUACUCUCAGUUCGGAUUGUAGGCUGAAACUCGCCUACAUGAAGCUGGAGUUACUAGUAAUCGCAGAUCAGAAUGCUGCGGUGAAUGCGUUCCCGGGUCUUGUACACAC